rnacentral:rRNA from 1 species
AUGUGCGUUGAGUUUCGGCGCGCUAGAUACGAAGAACAUGUCGUUGAUGGGCCUUUGCCGAAGGAUUGGCAUGGUUUCUCGGUUUAUGUCAGUGCGGAGGUGAUCGGGGUAGACUGCAACAGACGGAAAAAACGGAAAGUGUCAAUUAAAUUGCGGCGUCCUGGAUGCGAAGAGAUUGUUGUUCAAGGGCCUUUGCCAAAGGAUUGGCAAGGUUUCUCAGUGAAGUUUGCCGAGUCCCUUAAAGCUUGCUAUGCAGAUAGGUCGUACUACGGCCCUCCGGAUUUCUUGUGCCAAUACUGUGGUGCCUCCUUUUGGUUUGCUGAGUGUUCAAAGUCCAGGUCAUCCUGGACACAACGUAAGAUGGUUUAUAAUCGCUGUUGUAAAGGCGCUAAGGUAUAUAUUCCUCCCUUUAAGGAUCCCCCGGCCUAUCUCCAGGAGCUCCUUCGAUUUGAUGGUACUUCUCGUGCUAAAAAAUUCAUCCGGACUAUACGUGAGUACAACUGUAUGUUCGCUUUCACUUCGAUGGGUGCUACUAUUGAACGCUCGUUUGGUGGCAGCCGUGGACCUAAGAUUUUUAAGAUCAGUGGGCAAGUAUGA